rnacentral:rRNA from 1 species
GAUGAACGCUGACAGAAUGCUUAACACAUGCAAGUCGAGGGCGAAGCUGUGCUUGCACAGCCUAGCCAGGGCGGAGGGGUGAGGAAAGCGAAAGGAACUUGCCCUGCAGUCAGGGAUAACAGACGGAAACGAAUGAGAAGACCAGGCAAAGUCAGGCGGACACAUGCACAGCCCGAAGAAAAGAGAUGCUGCAGGAGAGCCUUGCGUCCGAUUAGCCUGUUGGUGGGGUAACGGCCCACCAAGGCGAUGAUAGAGAGCAGGCCUGAGAGGGUGGACGGCCCCGAGGCGACUGGGAUACGGCCCUUGCUCCUCCGGGAGGCAGCAGUGGGGCAUAUUGGACAAUGGGGGCGACACUGAUCCAGCACUUCUGUGUGCACGAUGAAGGUUUUCGGGUUGUACAGUGCUUUCAGCAGGGAAGCAAAAAAUGACGGUACCUGCAGAAGAAGCGACGGCUAACUACGUG